GAUUUAUUAACAAAAUAAUGGGCAGUAAGAGAAGUACUGAAUUCAAACUGCUACAUGUUGCAACAGUGUGGAAAGAUCAACAGAAAAGGAGGUACCCCAGUCUCCAUCUCAUGGCCCUUGGAUAGAAACCUUAAAUAAAAUCUCCCAGUUACUAGCAUACAUAUGGUUGCACAAUGAAAGUAUGAAAACAGAAUGUAAGGAUUUAGAGCUACCCUGCCUAAAAUUCCCAUCUCAAGUUUCCAGUAUGUUUUUUUUUAAACAAUUGAGGAUGCCAUUGAAAUUCUAUUUGAGUAUUUUUUAUAGAAAAUUACUAUAUCAAAUUCAGUGUCUGUUUAGUAUUGAAUGCAAAACAAGAUUCUUAGACAAUUCUCAUAUAAAUUCUUUUAGGAAAUAAUGAUAUUUUAUUAACCAAAAAUUGUCUCAAGAUAUCAAUAUUAUUUUAUACUCUGACAAACCAUUUUAUUGUAUGAUUUAAGGCAAAUAUAUACUGGCCAUGUUUUCUGCUGUAUUAACUAUAUUGUGAAAUACAAAACAAUGUACCUUCUACAGAUUUGUACUGCAUUUUUGAAAUGGAUAUGAAAAUCAAGGUGUCUAAGUCCUUCAGAUUGCUGAGGCUUCAACUAAGAAGCCUUAUACAAGUAUUUCAGGUGUCAUCAGGUUCCCAAUGAUGUGUGUGAUAGUUUGUAUAUGCUUGGCCCAGGGAGUGGCACUAUUUGGAGUUGUGGCCUUAUUGGACUAAGUGUGUCACUGUGGGCAUGAUCUUCAUUGCCCUCAUCCUAACUGCCUGGGAGGCAGUCCUUUCCUAGCAGCCUCUAGAUGAAGAUGUAGAACUCUCAACUCCUCCUGCACCAUGCUUGCUUGCACUCUGUCAUGCUUCAACCUUGGUGAUAAUGGACUGAAGCCCCAGUUAAACGUUAUUCUCAUAAGAGUUGCCAUGGUCAUGUUGUCUGUUCACAGCAGUAAAAUCAAUGUGACUUAAGAACUGCUCUGAAUACAGAAGUGGAUGCUCACAGUCAUCUAUUGGAUGGAACACAGGGUCCCUAAUGAAGGAGCUAGAGAAAGUACCCAAGGAGCUAAAGGGGUCUACAGCCCUAUAGGAGGAACAAAAAUAUGAACUAACCAGUACCUUACCCCGACCCCAAGCUGUGUCUCUAGUUGCAUAUGUAGAAGAGAAUGGCCUAGUCAGCCAUCAAUGGGAGGAGAGGCCCUUGUUAUUGCGGAAGAUCAUAUGCCCCAGUACAGGAGAAUGCCAGGGCCAGGAAGUGGGAGUGUGUGGGUUGGGGAGCAGGGCAAGGGGAGUGUAUAAAGGGCUUUUGUGAUAGCAUUUGAAAUGUAAAUGAAAGUAUCUAGUAAAAAUGCCUUAAAAAAUAAAGAACUGCUCUGAAGAACAAUCUCAUGCUAACAUAUUUGUAAACUGUAUUUUAAUUUAUGUAUUUCCUUUGCAAUUCUAUAUAAAUGAAGUUUGGUCUUGGUUUUGUUAUAGUUAAGGGAAGUCAGAGUAUCAGAUGGGGAUUAUUUUUGCCAACAACAUGGUGGAUGCUGCUAAUGUUCACUCUCCUAAAAGCGUUCUUCUGUGUGGAAGACAAUUUUGAGUGGAUGUGGUAAAAGGCUUUGGAACAAAAAAAUAGUACUAUUUCUCAGUAAAUAUGACCAUUUAUAUAUCAUGUACAUAUAUAUAUUUAUAUGGGUUUUAUAUUUACAUUAUAUAUCAUUUAAAUUUCAGUACAAAAAUNNNNNNNNNNNNNNNNNNNNNNNNNNNNNNNNNNNNNNNUGUAAUAAUAAAAGUAAACAUUGUAUAUCAAUUUGUUUUUAACUACUCUUACAUUCUCUUCAUAACAUUACCAUUAUAUAUUGCAAAUUAUCCUGGAAUUUUAUAAGACUGUGAAACAAAACUUCAAGAAUUAUUUGCUAUUUUGUUUCCCCAGAAAACAAAACUCUGGAACUUCAAAGUACAGUAUCAUAUUUAUGCUACUUGCUGUAGCAGUGAACAACUCUGAUCACAUCUCUCAAAAUCACUAUUACUAUUCUUAGUGGAGCACUCUACGAGCUGGAUAUAAAGAUAUAAAUGAUACCGUAUGGCCUAAGAACAGGCGCUUUUGUGGAGUUCUGGUAUUGUGUGUAAGAGAAGUGAACUAAUGAUAAAAUCACGGCGAUAUUACUUCUUUCUCCCAACAAUAUUUUCAAUAGUAAUCCAGGCUAUAAAUGUAAUAGCAGGUCUAACACUACUGGCAAUAUUGAGUUGAAAUGGCAAAUUGCAAUGCUAGGAAAAUUGUUAUCAGAGGGAUUGAUCUACAGUGGUACUAAUAUCUCAAGCUCCCAAAUAAAUGUUCAAUAAAAUGAUGCUUCACUAUUGUGCAAGCUUUGUGAUAAUGAUUUACCCAAGAUAUAGUACUUUAAAACCUCUAGCCAUCUUUCAUAUGUUAGAGCAAAAGCGAGAAAUAAAAUGAAAAUCCAU
ensembl:processed_transcript A230059L01Rik RIKEN cDNA A230059L01 gene